rnacentral:lncRNA from 1 species
GUGGGAAAACAAACAAAAAACUAAAUAGACCCCACAGUGGUGGCAGAGAGAGCUUUGAGUAAAUCGAUUUGAUCAAAAUUUGUUAUUGAAUAAUUGCUCGGUUCCUGGUAUAGGGUUAUGUGCUGGGAAGUGCAAGGCUGAAAAAAAAGUGGUCCCUUGAAUAUGUAGCAUAUAAAGGAACCAAGUGAUGGUGCCCUAAUGGUAUUCUGAGUACGAGGUAAGCAACAGAGGAGAGGUUAAUUCUACAAAGGAAGAAGGUAGCUGUCAAGAAAGACUGUGGCAGAGACAACUAGACGUUCUCUGAAAAAAUUUGAAUCCCUACUUUCACAGCAUGAAGUAGGUCCUGGGAGAGGAGUCUCCAGCCAGGAACUGCUUUUUCCAGUCCCCUCUGCAUCCAGAGGGGACUCACCAAUAAGUGUUCUCUGCGUCCAGAGGGGACUCACCAAUAAGUGUUCUCACCAAUAAGAAGGUUGCCCAACAGAAAGUGAGCAGAAGUGAUGUGUUCCACUUCUGGGCUUGGUCUCUCCACUCUUCUUGCUUUUACUGACUAGAAGCAGAAACCUCUGAGGCCCCAGUGGAUGAUGAAGACACUAGAUGGAAGGAACAUACAUCCCUGAAUCACAGUGUGGAAAAAAGGUCUCUGCCAAUAGGAAUAUUGUUAUGCAGGUAAAAAAUAAAAUUAUUUUAAGCCAUUGAAAUUUGGGAAUGUACUUGCUCUAGCAGUUAUUAUCACACUAAUGACUAUAGUAGUUACUCCAAACUGCAUUAUGACAAGUUAGUUUACAUAGGCCAAAUAAUUUUAAGUUGCAAGGAACCUUAUGUAUCUCUCCAAAUUUUUAUUUUAUACAGCAAGAUAUAUGCCUACAAAAGACCCAAGGACACAUUGCUAAUUAGUGAUGAACUUAGGCCUAGAAUCCUAGGCUUUCCUACUACAAUGUCCUUUUAAGUGUGUGUGUAUGUAUGUUAUGACAUUUUAAUAUAACACUUGUGUAAAUCACCCAAUUUAACUUUUUACAAUUGACUUUAAGCCCAUUUCUCUAUAUUGAAUGACCUGAGAACAACUAGCACUAGUCAUGGUUUUUCCUUAUAAUCACCUGCUCUGUGGAUGAAGACAGCUAGUUUUCAUUCAUAUCUUGAUUUUAAGCUAAAAUGUAUAAUUCCUUGAAUUACUUCACAUUUAUUUUAUCUUAGCUGAAUCCUCUUAAAAUUCAUCCUGUAUCUACUGUAUCUUUUCUAAAAUGAGGAGUUGCUUGGUCGAGAGAAUAUUAGGCUGGAAAUAAAAAUUAUACUCCGACAGCUGUGGUAUACCUAUUUAUUACAUGUGAGUCUGGUAAUAGUCUUAAGCAAUUUACAUUUCCAGUAACGCGGCAGAAUGGCAUUUCAUGAUCUACUUCUUGAUGGGUGGGGACUAUCUAUAGAUAGUCAUAUGACUAGUUUUAUUCACUGACUUGUGAGUAGAAGCAGCAUGUGUUACUUCCAGGGCCUAGCUAGUAUUGUUCCAGAACACUUUUUUUUUCCCUUUAGCACAGACAUAAGCAAUGUUCAAGACUGUGGCUGCUCUACCAAACUUUGUCUUUGGAUAAAGAUAUGGAUCCCCCCAACCCCAACCUACGGUGGAUCUGUAGCAGGAACAACAAACAAGCCUUUGUUUUAGGUCUUUCAAUCUUGAGGUUAUUAAGACAGCAUAACCUAACCUAUCCUGACUGAAAUGACACAACAUUAUCAGUGUGACCUUGAAAAAUUCAUUAAAUCUCUUAGAUUUCAAGCCUGUAAUUUGGAAAUUAACUGUUACUUGGAGAUUCAGUUAGAUAAUGAUUGUGAAAAAUACUAGACUAGGAGUCAGAAAGUCUGAGUUUUGCUAUUUACUCUGUCAUUAACUGGUAUAAUUGGGGGGAAUUAUUCCUUCUCUCAUUUAUUCACAAAACGUUUAUUAAGCACCUACUGUGACAAACUGCUAGAAGACAAGAAUUAAUAAAACAUAGUUCUUGCCCUCAUAAGAGCUCACAGGCUGCAUGGGACAGACAGAUUAAAAAUAUAUAGAAAUGUGUUAAGAGGUAUAGUAGAGGUAAGUGCAGGUUAUUACAAGAAGCCCAGAGGAGACUAUUGGCUCGCUCUACAGGGGAGUAAGGGAAAGCAUCACAGAGAAGACAUUUCAAAUUGAACCUUUUUAUUUAAAAAGGUGGCAUUUUCAGCAGGAGGAAUGACAUAUGAAAAUAUUUUACAUAAAAGGACAAUCCCUUUUAUUUCUUUAACUCUGACAUAUCUAGCUUCUCUUUCCUUGUCUUCUUUCUUCUCUUCUCUUUUUAUUUUUAUUUAUUUUUUAUUUUCUCUUCUGGACAGGGGCAUACAGUGGUACUUCUGGU